GGGCCCGCACAAGCGGUGGAGCAUGUGGUUUAAUUCGAUGAUACGCGAGGAACCUUACCAGGGCUUAAAUGUAGGACGACAGUUUGGGAAACCAAUCUUUCUUCGGACGGCCUACAAGGUGCUGCAUGGUUGUCGUCAGCUCGUGCCGUGAGGUGUCGGGUUAAGUCCCAUAACGAGCGCAACCCCUAUCCUUAGUUGCCAGCGGAUAAUGCCGGGGACUCUAAGGAAACUGCCGGUGCAAACCGUGAGGAAGGUGGGGAUGACGUCAAAUCAUCACGGCCCUUACGUCCUGGGCCACACACGUGCUACAAUGGCAAGUACAAAGGGCAGCUACCUGGUGACAGGAUGCGAAUCUCUAAAGCUUGUCUCAGUUCGGAUUGGAGUCUGCAACUCGACUCCAUGAAGCUGGAAUCGCUAGUAA
rnacentral:rRNA from 1 species